rnacentral:rRNA from 1 species
UACGUAGGUGGCAAGCGUUGUUCGGAAUUACUGGGCGUAAAGGGCGCGUAGGCGGCCUUGUAAGUCCUGUGUGAAAUCCCCCGGCUCAACUGGGGAACUGCACAGGAGACUGCUUGGCUUGAGUUCGGGAGAGGGAAGCGGAAUUCCGGGUGUAGCGGUGAAAUGCGUAGAUAUCCGGAGGAACACCGGUGGCGAAGGCGGCCU